GUUUGCCCAGGCCUGGUGUAUACGCACACACCCAACGGUCAAAGGAAAAAAGGGAGGGGCGAUGCUGACGUAUUUUAUUCCCUCGGCCACCGGGAGACACACAUUAAGAGGUGUCCAUGUGUGUGUAUCCACACGUCGACCUGGCACGUAGACGGACACAGAAAUCCUGCACAGCUCCCUGGAAACACAACGCCAGGCUUCCUUUCUGAGGCGAGGGAAGCCUAACCGAAGCUCCAGUGAUGGGGAGCGGCGGCAGAAGCACGCGCUUAUCCCCCGGCCUCUGUCUGUUUACAAGCCUGGUUUCUGCUCAUAAACAACCGCGAGGGAGAGGCAUCUGUCCUCCUCAGGGCCUGCCUUUUGCCGCCGGCGUCUCCUCAGCGCCCGGGCUUCCUCCACCUCCCUCCCUCCUACCUGAGGUCCUGGGCGCCGGGGCCUGAUGGCCGCGUCCCGGCAGCCGACGCCGCGGCCAAGGCGAGCAGCGAGGCCGAGAGGAAAGCCGCCCCGCCCCGCCCUGCGCUCUUAUUGCGGGGCCGGCGAGGAGAGGCCCGGAAGCCACGCCCCUUCCCCGGCGCCACGCCCCCCGACGUCACCCGCGGCCUGGCAGAGAUGCGCAAGCGCGCGGGCUGCACGUUCGCCUCUUGCUUCUCUGCAGAAAUCGUGCACUUGCACUUCCGGGGCUCAGGAGUUGUGGUUUGGUGAGGCAGGGAAGGCUAUUGGAUGCUGUAGACCAGUGGUUCUCAACCUUCCUAAUAUCCCGAUCCCUUAAUACAGCUCCUCAUGUUCUGGCUUGCGAUCUCACCAGUUCUUUGUCACAGGCAUUUGUGGCACAAGUUCCAUUGGAUCAUCUGAGCAAUGGUAUUAUGCCUCUGCUUGUCCAUCUGUGCAAUCUUCUUGCAGCAGCUGAGGAUGUGAACCAUCGUUUCAUCUGCUUCCUUGCAGAGUCUACACUUGGAAUCUGUAGUCGACUUCUGGCUUUGAUAGCAUUUGUUCUAAUUGCUUGUUCUUGGGUUGUAAGGAUUAGGCCCUCAGUCGCCUUUUUCAAAGUUCCAUUUGUGAGCCACAUCAAUGUUUUUUCUUGUCAAUUUUGCUCUCAAUUUUUCCCAGAAAGUGUCCAUGGAGAGCCUUCCUUUAUCAGUUUUCUGUUCUGCUCUGCAUUGCAUUUUUACGGUUAUUAUUAUUAUUAUUAUUAUUAUUAUUAUUAUUAAUCAUGUCAGAUGCAAAUUGAGAAUACAGUGAUAGUGUAUAAAAACCCACAAACAAAGUUAAAAACUUGGCAUUAUGCUAAUGAUGAUGAUGAUUUAUUUGUAUCCCACCUCCUCUCCCCAAGGGGGCUUGGGGCAGCUUACAACAAGGAAGAACAGAAUAAAUAAUAGUCACACAAAUCAAUUUAGGAAAAAUUAAAUCAAAACAACAAAUCAUAAUACAUAAAGCAAAGCAAAAACAAUAAACAUGUUAGUUACAACUCAAAAACAACAAUAAUAAAUAUAGGACUAUAUAAUACUAAAGACAUAUAGUGCAGUAAAACCCCAUCACAAGACCUACUCUUGUUGGUAAAAGCAAUAAGAUCUAAUUAAUAUUAGUCCCAUUUUAAAACUCAGUCACUGAAUUAGUUAGCCAUUUUCAAAAGCCUGCUUCCAGGGCCUCAUUGGCAGAUUUCAGGGCCUGGGCAGGUUCAUAGGAGGAGACGCAGUCACGCAAAUAGACUGGACCUGAACCAUGUAGGGCUUUGUAGGUAAUAACCUACACUUUGAAUUGGGCCCAGAAACAUGCAGGCAGCUAGUGAAGCUGUUUUAGUAGGGGGCUGGUGUGCUCCCUCUAUUUAGCUUCUGUUAACAGCCUGGCCACUGCUCUUUGUACUAAUUAAAGUUUCCAAGCCGUCUUCAGAGGCAGCACCACGUAAAGUACAUUGCAGUAAUCCAUCCGAGAUGCAACCAAGGCAUAGACCACUGCCCUUGCGCUUUUGACAGUUCAAAUGGUGCCAUAUUGCAUCCAUUUUAAAAUGCCCUCUCUAUGCAUUGGAAGGCAUUUUAUAAUACUCUUAGGCAGGGCCGUAGCCAGAAAAAAAUUUCGGGAGGGGUUUUGAAAAUUUCGGGGGGGGGGGGGGUUGAACCCCUAGCACAUACCCCUCCCCGCUACAAACCUGUCAAUAUCUGCUUGAGAUAGUGCCUGGAGGGACUCUUAAUGUUUUGCAUCUCAUAGACUUAGCAUGGGGAUUUGGUUAACCAGUUAAAAUUCAUGAGUAAACGAGAUUUUUUUUAUAACUUGAAAAAUUUCGGGGGGGGGGGUUGAACCCCUAACCCCCCCCCCCCUCGCUACAGGCCUGCUCUUAGGACAAUGAUG
rnacentral:lncRNA from 11 species